rnacentral:rRNA from 1 species
UACGUAGGUGGCGAGCGUUGUCCGGAAUUAUGGGGCGUAAAGGGCGCGUAGGCGGUUCUUUAAGUCAGGUGUGAAAACCCGAGGCUUAACCUCGGAGGUGCAGUGGAAACUGGGGAACUAGAGUGCAGGAGAGGUAAGUGGAAUUCCUAGUGUAGCGGUGAAAUGCGUAGAUAUUAGGAGGAACACCAGUGGCGAAGGCGACUUACUGGACUGUAACUGACGCUGAGGCGCGCAAGCGUGGGGAGCAAACAGG